rnacentral:rRNA from 1 species
CAGUCGCCGCGGUAAUACGGAGGGGGCUAGCGUUGUUCGGAAUUACUGGGCGUAAAGCGCACGUAGGCGGCGAUUUAAGUCAGAGGUGAAAGCCCGGGGCUCAACCCCGGAACUGCCUUUGAGACUGGAUUGCUAGAAUCUUGGAGAGGCGGGUGGAAUUUCGAGUGUAGAGGUGAAAUUCGUAGAUAUUCGGAAGAACACCAGUGGCGAAGGCGGCCCGCUGGACAAGUAUUGACGCUGAGGUGCGAAAGCGUGGGGAGCAAACAGGAUUAGAUACCCCCGUAGUCCCUGUCUCUUAUAC